GUUUUGCACCACUUUACAGUCUUAGAAUUGAAAUGAUUGAAGUGUGACAAGUGAAAACUUGAAACCCUAACUCCUAUUGGAUGAGCUUGCUUGUGUUAUGUCACUGUUUUGCUGACAAGUAAGUACUAAGUGGUAUUAAGGAAAAGUCAAAAGAGAUGAAGAAAAACUGAUGAAAAAUUGUGUUUAUUGAGUGCAUGACAGCUUUAUGUUGCAGACCUUUUAAGAUUUGAUUGUUAACAUGUAUAGAGAAAUUAGAGAGAGAGUUGACAAGGGUGUGAAUCUUUGUAACCCUAAUUAAUAAAAGCUCUUACUCUUCUUCACCUCCUUCUAUAUACUUUAUACUCUUGCACCUUAACAUCUAUUUCUAUUGCUUACUCAGAUCUGCAAAUCUUUGAAAGAAAACCCAUUGGGAAGACACAAAAAAGUGCAACAGGUAGUGAAUAUAAUAUUCUUCAAAGCUCAUAGAGGGAAAAGAAAGAUAAGUAUUCAAAUGAGAAUAAAAUUAUAUGAUAUUCAAACUACUUCAUAUAACAUCAAAAGCUUAAUCGAUCCAAUCAUGUCCAUAAUAACAUAGUAGUCUUAUACCCUGAUAUAAUUAAUGGACCUUUAUAAUAUGUAUAUAGACACACCAACAGAAACAACUUCAAUAACAAAACAUAAAGCAUUAACAUGUCAUUAAAUUCAUAGAUCAGGGAAAUUAAUUAUAUAUAUGUUGUUGAAGUAAUGUAAAUGAUGUAGAAAGAGAGUAGUGUAAGAGAAGGAAGAAC
rnacentral:lncRNA from 1 species